rnacentral:rRNA from 1 species
CGACGUGGGGAACCUGCCCUAUACAGGGGGAUAACAGCUGGAAACGGCUGCUAAUACCGCAUAAGCGCACAGAAUCGCAUGACUCAGUGUGAAAAGCCCUGGCAGUAUAGGAUGGUCCCGCGUCUGAUUAGCUGGUUGGUGAGGUAACGGCUCACCAAGGCGACGAUCAGUAGCCGGCUUGAGAGAGUGAACGGCCACAUUGGGACUGAGACACGGCCCAA